CUUUGGAUACUGCAGGACUUGAAUCUCGGAGGGGGCGGGUGGAAUUCCCAGUGUAGAGGUGAAAUUCGUAGAUAUUGGGAGGAACACCAGUGGCGAAGGCGGCCCGCUGGACGAUGAUUGACGCCGAGGCACGAAAGCGUGGGGAGCAAAACAGGAUUAGAUACCCUGGUAGUCCACGCCGUAAACGAUGGGUACUAGUUGUCGCGGGUAUCGACCCCUGCGGUGACGCAGCUAACGCGCUAAGUACCCCGCCUGGGAAGUACGGCCGCAAGGCUAAAACUCAAAGGAAUUGACGGGGGCCCGCACAAGCGGUGGAGCAUGUGGUUUAAUUCGAUGCAACGCGCAGAACCUUACCUGGGCUUGACAUGUUUAGAACCCCUGGUGAAAGCCGGGGGUGCCCGCAAGGGGAGCUAGAACACAGGUGCUGCAUGGCUG
rnacentral:rRNA from 1 species